rnacentral:tRNA from 1 species
AAGCUAUUUUGGCAGAGUUAAUUGUGAUGAUUUUAGAAAUCAUAAAUAUAUACAUAUAUAAAUUUAUUAUAUAAAUAGUA